GUGUUCGUAGAAAGGAGAGAUGGUUGGCAUCUCCUCUGACAGAGAUGGGAGUGACCUUCGGAUCUUUGAAUGUUCGAGCAUAUCUAAAGACGAAGUCGGGGCAGCUUUAU
rfam:Arabis alpina cultivar Pajares scaff_40498_1_contig_5, whole genome shotgun sequence.